UCAAACUUGGUCAUUUAGAGGAAGUAAAAGUCGUAACAAGGUCUCCGUUGGUGAACCAGCGGAGGGAUCAUUACCGAGUUUACAACUCCCAAACCCCUGUGAACCUUACCUAUCGUUGCCUCGGCGGACAACCUCCCCCCCCUUCGCUGGGCGGGGUUCGCGGCCGCCAGAGGACCCCAAACCCUCUGUUUUAUAUUCCAGUAUCUUCUGAGUUACACAAGCAAAAUAAAAUCAAAACUUUCAACAACGGAUCUCUUGGUUCUGGCAUCGAUGAAGAACGCAGC
rnacentral:misc_RNA from 1 species